CGUGUAGGCGGUGCGGUAAGUUGGGCGUGAAAUCCCCCGAGCUUAACUCGGGUGGGCCGUUCAAGACUGCCGUGCUAGGGUGCGGGAGAGGGAAGUGGAAUUUCCGGUGUAGCGGUGAAAUGCGUAGAUAUCGGGAGGAACACCUGCGGCGAAGGCGGCUUCCUGGACCGUAACCGACGCUGAGGCGCGAAAGCUAGGGGAGCAAACAGGGAUUAGAUACCCUGGUAGUCCUAGCCCUAAACGAUGAGCACUGGGUGUGGCCCCCUCACGGGGCCGUGCCGAAGCUAACGCAUUAAGUGCUCCGCCUGGGGAGUACGGUCGCAAGGCUGAA
rnacentral:rRNA from 1 species